AACUUAAUAAUUAAAACUUUCAACAACGGAUCUCUUGGUUCUGGCAUCGAUGAAGAACGCAGCGAAAUGCGAUAAGUAAUGUGAAUUGCAGAAUUCAGUGAAUCAUCGAAUCUUUGAACGCACAUUGCGCCCCCUGGUAUUCCGGGGGGCAUGCCUGUUCGAGCGUC
rnacentral:rRNA from 1 species